rnacentral:rRNA from 2 species
UGAGGAAUAUUGGUCAAUGGGCGAGAGCCUGAACCAGCCAAGUAGCGUGCAGGAUGACGGCCCUAUGGGUUGUAAACUGCUUUUAUGUGGGGAUAAAGUGCGUGACGUGUCAUGCAUUGCAGGUACCACAUGAAUAAGGACCGGCUAAUUCCGUGCCAGCAGCCGCGGUAAUACGGAAGGUCCGGGCGUUAUCCGGAUUUAUUGGGUUUAAAGGGAGCGUAGGCUGUCUAUUAAGCGUGUUGUGAAAUUUACCGGCUCAACCGGUGGCUUGCAGCGCGAACUGGUCGACUUGAGUAUGCAGGAAGUAGGCGGAAUUCAUGGUGUAGCGGUGAAAUGCUUAGAUAUCAUGACGAACUCCGAUUGCGCAGGCAGCUUACUGUAGCAUAACUGACGCGGAUGCUCGAAAGUGCGGGUAUCAAACAGG